rnacentral:rRNA from 1 species
GGCUCAGGAUGAACGCUAGCUACAGGCUUAACACAUGCAAGUCGAGGGGUAGCAGGGUAGCAAUACCGCUGACGACCGGCGCACGGGUGAGUAACACGUAUCCAACCUUCCCAUAACUCAGGGAUAGCCUUUCGAAAGAAAGAUUAAUACCUGAUAGUACUUUUUCAAGGCAUCUUGAGAAAGUUAAAGAUUUAUUGGUUAUGGAUGGGGAUGCGUUCCAUUAGAUAGUUGGUGAGGUAACGGCUCACCAAGUCUUCGAUGGAUAGGGGUUCUGAGAGGAAGGUCCCCCACAUUGGUACUGAGACACGGACCAAACUCCUACGGGAGGCAGCAGUGAGGAAUAUUGGUCAAUGGGCGAGAGCCUGAACCAGCCAAGUAGCGUGAAGGAAUGAAGGUCCUAUGGAUUGUAAACUUCUUUUAUAGUAGAAUAAAGUGAUCCACGUGUGGAUUUUUGUAUGUAUACUAUGAAUAAGGAUCGGCUAACUCCGUGCCAGCCGCCGC